GUUCCGGUGAAAAAGCUGACGCUGAAGAAAUUGCACAGAGAAGAAUUAUUGCUUAUUUAGAGAAAACCACUGAACCUGUUGGAAGAAUUCCCACACUUCUGAGCAGUGUGUGUUUUUGGUAUCCAAGAUGAAGAGUGACAGAGUAGCCCAGCAUCUUGUCAAGAGAUGGUCAGCUUAUGUUCCUUCCUUCACAGACAUUUUUGAUGAAGAAAUGUUCUACAUUUGUUUCUUUCUGCUGACAGUGGUGAGCAUUAUAGUUGCAGUUUUUCUGUCACGGCGAUUUGAAGUUAAAGAUGCAGGUCAUGUGGAUUAAUACUUCAAAAGUUCUUCAAAAUAUGGACAAUGCAAACAUGAUCUUGUGAUGAAAGCCAACUUGUCAGACUUCACACAUCAAUGAACAUGAUACAUACCAAAUGGAAAAUCUGAAGAAUGAAGACAUCGUCUAAUCUUAAUAUUGGUUCCAGUUCAUCAUUUUCAUGUUUCAUUCCGUUGACCAUUUCCAAAUAUAUGUACACUGGCAUGGUCAGUGAUCAACAGGCUACAGCCUGUUUGUUAUUUGCUCUUGAUUGACACUUUCAAGUUUACAUAGGACAAUUCCUUCCGAAUUUCUUUUAAGUAAUUUACAGAAAUGUAUCACUUGGUACUUCUAUCAUUAUGUAUAUCUAAAAUGUCAUCUUAUGAAUAUUAUUGCUAAUUUUCAUGUUUGCUGUGUUGUAAUACCUCCUAGUUAUUUUGUUUUAUUUAUAUAGAUAAUUAAUUUACAUUGCAUCAGGCCUAAAAGAAUCGAUCAGCUUUAUUUCAUAAGUCUUUACUAUAAGGAUUAUAUUGAGAAGGAAUCCUACCUUUAUUAGUAUUAGUCCUUCCUUGAAGAUGACUUGAAAAGUUAAGGGUAGGUGAAAAAAGUAGUGGGUUGCAUCCUGCAGGGUUUCAGGUUCGAUUCACUGUCUGGUCAUGACAUUGUUCCACUUUAAUUUAAUGCAUUUAAGAUAGCUGGUAUAUGUUUACGUAUACACUGUUUCUUAAAUCCACGUGUCAAUUUAAUUUGUAAUGUCUGCCAAUGUAAAUUCCUGCUUAUAUUUUUACGACAUGUUGCUUUUUACUAGUUUCUGGGGUUGUUUUUGUCAGAAGAGAAUGAGUGAUGAUUAUGUUUGCAUCAUUUUUUAAACAUUCAUGUGAGGGUAAUUUUAACUUUUACCCUUUGUUAUGAGUUUUCCAAUGUUAUUUUAAUUUUUAUUUCUCAUGUGCAAUACAUACAUGUACAGUGCAGUUCUGUGACACCUGUUCAUUGUUACAGGGUCACUAGAGGUCACAGAGAAAGUAGAGGUCACAGCUAGGGUGGACAAGUCUGAACAAAGUAACUUAAAGGUAUUUCCCACUUUCUUGAGAGCAGAUAUAAUGACCAAUAAAUCAGUUUUUGUUAAUGCCGAUGAAUUUUUAACAACAAGUUGUGUUAGAGUGGUUUGAAAUAACAGCAGUUUUGACAAAUCAAAAGCAAUUAAAAUACUGGCGGAAAGCCAUUUUACUGAAAUGCCAGAAGAUAAAACUUCCUCUUAUCAAAGAAGAUAUAUGUUGAAACGAAAAGUUAUAUCAAACACUUAAAGGGACAUAACUUUUGUGGAAAAAAAUUCUAUUAUAAUUAUCUUUCUUAAAGAUUUAUCUGUUGCAAAAACAAUGUCUUGUCAUAUUUUCACAUUUAAGCUUACAUUACUUUUGCCUUUUGAAGUCAAAGAUCUUUAAAUAUGUAAUUUAUUUCCAUUUCCUUCCAAAAUUAUACUACAGGAGGGAUUUUGAUUUGUCAGAAUCUGAAAAAUAACCUCUUUCUACAUAUAUAGUGUAUUGUAAUGAGGUGUUAUAAAACUCACUUAAAUACACUGCCAUAUGUAUACUCUAUUUUGUCUUAAACUAAAUUCCUUAUCAAAAUCCCUUUUAUACCUUUUAUUAUUGAAAAUGUCUUAAGGAGAUUGGGAAUGUUAAAUGUAUAGUAGCUAUAUAGACCCUUUAGAGUAUGUUUUUGACUCCCCAAAAACAUAUUUGACUCUUAAUUGGGUUUGAAUGAACAUGUCUAUUUGGCAUAUGUUUUGACCCUUCAGAUUUCUGAGAAAUAGUGAGUUGACUUCUGAAAUCUCAAGGGUCAACUGGAUGCCCUGUUUAAACAAAGAAAAAAAUUCCAAGCCUUGUUACUGUAACUGAGGCUUUGCAAUAUCUAGAUUGUGAUUUGGUGAACAUGUGAAUUUAACAGACACAUGGUUUUACAUAAAUUUUUAGCCCACCAAAUAUAAACAAUUUUACAUGAAUUGAGCUAGCCAUUCUAGUGAGAGGUUCAGGGUUUCCAGUGCCGAUUUAAAAUACUUUCAUUGUAUUUUCAGUCUUGACAAAAGAUGAACUAUCAUAUGAGAAUGAUAUUUCAGUGAAAAAUUUUUAAGUAGAAGGAAAACUCAGUCUUAUUAAAAGUAUGUCACAUUUCGGAGUAUAAAUUCAGUUGUCUGAGGUUAAAUUUAAUAAGGUUGUCCCAAUAGAAAGAUUCGUCAUAGUGUGGUAUUGUGAGCUGUGUUUGUUUUUAUUUCUUGUUAACACAGACUUACAUGUUUAAUGUGAAUCUCACCAGCGUGUUUCUAUAUAUAUAUUGUGACUGUGACAUGUGUAAUGUGAAUCUCACCAGUUUAUUGAUUUGUAUUUCUUUACUGUCUGUUUCUUUUGUGACAAUAUAUAAUGUGCAAUAAAACUUUUUUUAAUUUUAA